AUUCUCAUUUAUAAAAACUUACAGAUUUUUUCUUUUUUAUUCUAUAUCCUUGCUCAAAGUCUAUAAAAAAGGCUAUAUAAAUUUUAAAUAUAACAUUUUUGCUUUCUAGAGCAUGCUUCAGAUCGUUCAGUCCCACGUAAAUAUCAAGCUUCAAUGAGAAGACGCAUACGCAAAGUUUAGUUUUGCUUUUAGUCUAAAAUUCGAAGUUUCUGCUCAAAGUUGGAAGAAACUUGUAAAUUACCAAGCCUCACGCACGGGAGGAAACGGCGAUCCCCAAAGUCCUCAUCUCCUUUCUUCUUGCUCAAAAACAAGAUUGCUAUUCUUUGAUAUAUUUUCAUCUUGAAAGGGAAAAAGUUCGUAUUUCAACUAGCCAUACACAAUUCUGAGAUUAUGAACUAUAGCAUAAAAUUAAACAUGCUGUGUCAAGUAGAAAUCUGUUUGCAAUUGUGCAUUUUCCAAACUUUUUAAUAGAGAAUUUAUGUAGAAGUUUAUAGUAUAAUUAUUUUGAAAAGGCGCUAAAUAAUAACUUACUGUUUACCCGUGAAUUUUAUGUUUAAAUAUGAAGUGGGGUGUAUGCAAAUUAAUUAAUUCAUUUAAAAAAUCGCCGAAAUUUUCGUAUAAUUUGUAUACGAAUAGUUACCGCAAUCAUGUUUCAGUUUCUGAGAAAUAUUACGAAGAACGGGAAGUAAUUAUUAAAACAUGUGGACCAUUAUAUAAAAAAUGGGAAGCUGAGAAAAGAUUUCGAACAGUACCGAAAGAAGGCUUAACAUUUAAUGUUCCGUAUAUAGAUACAGGAGAAGGUACAGUAUCUGAUUCUAAAGAAAAAUUGCCUCCUUUAGUUUUAGCUCUACAUGGAGCUCCAGGUUCAUGGAAAGAUUUUAGCCUUGUUGCAGAUUACCUUCAUAAUGUGGGUGCAAGAGUUGUUGUCCCUUCAUUUCCUAAUUUUUCACAUUAUAAGCCUGGCAUUUUUCGACAUUCUGAUGAAGAAAAAACUCAUUAUUUGCAGGAUUUUUUAAAGGCUAUAGCUGUGCAUCAGGUUGACCUCUUAAUUUGUCAUAGUAGUUCUAUCUAUCCUGGUUUGAUACUUUGCUUAGAUGAGAAUGGACCAAAUGUUAAAUCUCUUGUUAUGCUCAAUACAGGAACAUAUCAUCUGGGUAUGAAGUAUUUUAAGUCUAUGAAAAUGAUGGUUACAGCCACUGAAACUCCUAUGGGCAUGAAAAUAAUGGAAAUAUGUGCUCCCUUUAUUAUGAAGAAUAUUGUUAAAACUCCUGUCAAAGUUGAAAAUUUUUUAGAUCCUUUGUUAUCUGCUACAACGAUGGUUCAUGGAAACAUACCAAAGGCUAAAGAAAAGUUCCUUCAACUUGUGUCUCGUGAGUUGCCUAUUUUGUAUGCCUUCAGUGAGGAUGAUCGAUUGAUUGGUAAAAAGUGGUCAUUGGAACUUGCUUAUUUGCUUGGAGCUGCUGAUUCAGAUAUCUUCCAGUAUGAUAAAGACUGUAACCUUAAACAAAGGGGUAAUGAAUCAUCCAGACUUAAAGUGAUGUCUUUUGAAAGGGGGUCUCACUAUGUAUUUUGGAAGCAUCCUGACAUUAUCAACAAUGCAAUUGCGGAUUUUCUGUUCAAAGACCAUUUGCAGAAAUAAAUAUGGAUAAAAAUUUUUUUUUUCAUGGAUGCACGAUUUUAAAAUCUAAUUCUUUAGUAUCUCAAGAAAGGUUUAUAGAAGACCAUGGUAUCUGUUUUUUAAGACGAACGAGUGUGUUUCAAAAUUUGGCAAAAACUCUUCACCAGAACGCUCUGGAAAUUUCUGCUGUGGAAGUAAAUAGAAUGUACGGGGAAGUGCAGAACUGCAUUGAGGUCAAACUCUUCUUUUAAGUGUACAAGCUCUGGUAAGUCGUAUCUUUCUUCUCGAUUAUUUACUAAAUGAAAAUUUUCAUUUGCACUUUGGCAGCUGAGGUUGAUGGCUCGGUAAAACCAUCGAAACCACU
rnacentral:misc_RNA from 1 species